AACGAACGCUGGCGGCAGGCAUAACACAUGCAAGUCGAGCGAAGCCUUCGGGCUUAGCGGCGGACGGGUGAGUAACGCGUGGGAACGUGCCCUUUGGUACGGAAUAGCCCCGGGAAACUGGGAGUAAUACCGUAUGUGGUCGAGAGACGAAAGAUUUAUCGCCAAAGGAUCGGCCCGCGUUGGAUUAGGUAGUUGGUGGGGUAAUGGCCUACCAAGCCGACGAUCCAUAGCUGGUUUGAGAGGAUGAUCAGCCACACUGGGACUGAGACACGGCCCAGACUCCUACGCGAGGCAGCAGUGGGGAAUCUUAGACAAUGGGGGAAACCCUGAUCUAGCCAUGCCGCGUGAUCGAUGAAGGCCUUAUGGUUGUAAAGAUCUUUCAGUGGGGAAGAUAAUGACUGUACCCACAGAAGAAGCCCCGGCUAACUCCGUGCCAGCCGCCGCAGUAAAAC
rnacentral:rRNA from 1 species